GGAUUUUGUGAUUUUAUGAUGUUUUUCCUUUUUGAUACAUUUUCCUUUUUAAUGUUUCAUUUACUCAGCUCUCCUUAUAAUGCUCCAUUUACUCAUUUACUCAUAUGCUCCUGUUAAGAAAGGCUUGGAAAGCACAUAGUGUUCACAUAUCUUUAUGUUUUGUCUUUUGCUUCUUCUCACACACAUACACAUGAGCCCCGCAGUAUUCGCUGACUCCUGUGAAAGUCUCUUGCAGACACCCUUGGAAACAGGACCCAACUGGCUUCUGUUUUCCUCGAGAUAGACACUACACACACACACACACAUAUACACUGUGUCCCAUACAUGCCCAGAUUGUCUGUUACAGCCUGACAAAACAGGGAAUGCUACGAUGUAUAAAUAAAGCUGACUACAAAGCCUCGGGACGGAGCCACCAGAUCCUGACGUCGUGACUACCUGCACUGCAACCACCGUUUCUAGCGAAGCGAGGAAAAGCCCAGAGUCGUACAUUCGCCUACUGGCCAGUGUCUUAUACAGGUCCACGACGCCGGGUUCUCGGUGACGCCGGGAAAAAGAACACAGCGCAACAUUGAAGGUGAAUAUAAAGCAGCCAGAAACACUUUGCGUUGAAUAAUCGAUUUUGGUUUGACACUGCUCAAAGUAGAAGGGUCCUGUGUGGACCGAAAAGGAAAAGGACAGACGUGUCCUAUGUAAUAUGCUCGCCCGGGUAAGACGAAACAACCUGCCCUGUGGGGGCCUGUUUCGCACCAUAAGUAAGGGUUGGUAGCCAGUAUAUCUCACGCUCGCCUGUGUAAGACGGAUUAACACGCCCUGAGAGGCUCAAUCCGCAACAAAAAUAAAGGUUGGUAGCCAGAGAAGCGAGAGUGUCAAAUAAAAAUAGGAUUUUCUCUAAGCGCGCUAACUGUUUGCUGAAUGUUUGUUGAGGAGUAAGUGCUUCAUUGAAUAGGAGCUCUAGGCUCCUGCACUACUCCUAUUGUUUUCCUGUGAGUACUGGAUGGUGAGAAAGAGAAAAGGUUGCGCGUCAACGCGUAAAAUUAAGUCCGCCCUGAA